UACACACACACACCGUAAUAAAGUCUCAUGGAAUGUAGUCGCGUUUAACGCAAUACAAUACAACUUUCAGCAACGGAUCUCUUGGCUCUCGCAUCGAUGAAGAACGCAGCGAAAUGCGAUAAGUAAUGUGAAUUGCAGAAUUCAGUGAAUCAUCGAAUCUUUGAACGCACCUUGCGCCCUUUGGCUAUUCUGAAGGGCAUGCCUGUUUGAGUAUCAUGAACACCUCAACUCUCAUGGUUUACCAUGAUGAGCUUGGACUUUGGAGGUCUUGCUGGCCAGCGGCCGGCUCCUCUCAAAUGAAUCAGCUUGCCAGUGUUUGGUGGCAUCACGGGUGUGAUAACUAUCUACGCUUGUGGUUUUCUGCCGGGUAACCUUCAGUGAUGGAGGUUCGCUGGAGCUCACAAACGUCUCUCCUCAGCGAGGACAACUUUAUGAAUG
rnacentral:misc_RNA from 1 species